rnacentral:lncRNA from 1 species
ACACCAGUAUUAGCACUAGUGAUCAGAGGGUACCAGAGGGUUAAGAGUGAGUUUCUAACAGAAUGAUCUCUACUUGUUGGUGAGGGACUAGUGAAUUCUUUGAGAGCCAAGAUUAGAGGUCUAUAUUCUAGGUUUUAGGGAGUAUUAUUCUGUACUUCUUCUACAUCUAGUAGAGCUUUUUCAUCGCUGCCCGUGGACGUUGGAGGCCAACCUCUGAACCACGUAAAUCCUUGUGUCUCUAAUUGUAAGUUGUUCAUUUAGUUUCUAUCUUCUAACUUCCACGCUAAGUCCAUAUUAAGCUUUUAUCUCUAACAGAGGGAAUGAAGUAAAAGAACAAAUGGGCUACAAUAGAGGAAUGGAACCAGAACUGAAUGUGAUCGCUACAAGCAGAAGCGAAGCAAUGAUCAAUCCGAUGGGGGGAGUUCGCUGCGACAGUUGCAACGGGAGGCUGGAUCCCGAGAUGCCGCGACAUUUAUUGGUGCAGUUCUACCGCAUUCUCCGAUGAGAUUUCCCCUACUUGGCGGAUGAGGCGGCCUUCGCCCUCGCCACCAUCGCCGCGGCGAACUCCAACAGCUUGUCUGUCUCCGGCAUCACCCCCUUCACAGCCUCCUCGGCGCAGAACCGGUCAGCCCACGCGGCCAGAUGAGGGAACCUGUCUCCGUCCAGGAUCUUCAAGCCGGACAUCUUCUCGCUGACCUGGAUCCACCUCAAGUAGCUCCCCAGGGCGAUGUCCAGGAACCCGACGGCGUCACCGCCGAACCACUUUCCUCCCUUGCCACAGGUCUGGAAGGCCUCCUCCAGCAGCUGGGCCCCGGCGAAGAUCUGCUCCGCUAC